GAGAAAGCAAACGCAAUUCGCCAGGCAUUGGCUGGAAGUGAUGAAGAUGACGAUAGUGAUAGUUGGAGUGAUUCUGAAUAAACUUUCAGCUCCUUCAAUCCAUAACUACUCCAUUGCUCCUUCUCCAUGAACUGGGUCGAGAUUUCUCGUUCUUCUCCCUUAAAUGGUAAUUUCGGUAGUUUAGUGGUUACGUUACUCUUCUUCUCUAAGCUUCUUCAUAUAUGUAAAUCAUACAUCACAUGUUCUCCCACACCCCCUCUGUUUUCUCUACUUUGGUUU
rnacentral:misc_RNA from 1 species